rnacentral:rRNA from 1 species
GACGAACGCUGGCGGCGUGCCUAAUACAUGCAAGUCGAGCGCAGGAAGCUGACGGAACUCUUCGGAGGGAAGGCAGUGGAAUGAGCGGCGGACGGGUGAGUAACACGUAAGGAACCUGCCUCAAGGAUUGGGAUAACUCCGAGAAAUCGGAGCUAAUACCGGAUAGUUCAACGGACCGCAUGGUCCGCUGAUGAAAGGCGCUUCGGCGUCACCUUGAGAUGGCCUUGCGGUGCAUUAGCUAGUUGGUGGGGUAACGGCCCACCAAGGCGACGAUGCAUAGCCCACCGGAGAGGGUGAUCGGCCACACUGGGACUGAGACACGGCCCAGACUCCUACGGGAGGCAGCAGUAGGGAAUCUUCCACAAUGGACGAAAGUCUGAUGGAGCAACGCCGCGUGAGUGAUGAAGGUUUUCGGAUAGUAAAACUCUGUUGUAAGGGAAGAACACGUACGAGAGGGAAUGCUCGUACCUUGACGGUACCUUACGAGAAAGCCACGGCUAACUACGUGCCAGCCGCCGCAGUAAGAC